UACGUAGGGUGCAAGCGUUGUCCGGAAUCACUGGGCGUAAAGGGCGCGUAGGCGGCUCAUGAAGGCUGUGGUGAAAGUCCGGGGCUCAACCUCGGAUCGGCCGUGGCGACUCGUGGGCUGGAGCACUGUAGAGGCGGGUGGAAUUCCGGGUGUAGCGGUGGAAUGCGUAGAGAUCCGGAAGAACACCAGUGGCGAAGGCGGCCCGCUGGGCAGUGGCUGACGCUGAGGCGCGACAGCGUGGGGAGCAAACAGG
rnacentral:rRNA from 1 species